GCCGGUGUAGCUCAAUCGGUAGAGCACCUGACUUGUAAUCAGGGGGUUGUGGGUUCAAUUCCUAUCGCCGGCACCA
rnacentral:tRNA from 1 species